GGAUCAUGUCCUGAGCCAAAAGAAGAUGAUCAACCACUGAACCACCCAAGCGUCAUGAGAUUUUUUUGGCUUGGUUUAAAAAAUCAAAAGGAAGUAUAAAUAUUCAAGAGAAAUGGAGUGUCAUAUCCAUUAGUGUCAUGAAUAAACAAAAGCUUAGGACUUGACAAUGGCUGCUUUACUUAUCCUCUGAUGAAUAGCAUUUCUGUGGAAAAAUAUAAGGCAAGUGAUUUUACUCUUAC